GAAGGGGGCUAGCGUUGCUCGGAAUUACUGGGCGUAAAGGGCGCGUAGGCGGCGCUGCAAGUCAGGCGUGAAAUUCCUGGGCUUAACCUGGGGGCUGCGCUUGAGACUGUGGUGCUAGAGGACGGAAGAGGCUCGUGGAAUUCCCAGUGUAGAGGUGAAAUUCGUAGAUAUUGGGAAGAACACCGGUGGCGAAGGCGGCGAGCUGGUCCGUUACUGACGCUGAGGCGCGACAGCGUGGGGAGCAAACAGGAUUAGAUACCCUGGUAGUCCACGCCGUAAACGAUGUGCGCUGGAUGUUGGGGCUCUUAGAGCUUCAGUGUCGUAGCUAACGCGGUAAGCGCACCGCCUGGGGAGUACGGCCGCAAGGUUG
rnacentral:rRNA from 1 species